rnacentral:rRNA from 1 species
GACGAACGCGGCGGCGUGCCUAAUACAUGCAAGUCGAACGAACCGCGACUAGGUGCUUGCACUUGGUCAAGGUGAGUGGCGAACGGGUGAGUAACACGUGGGUAACCUACCUCAUAGUGGGGGAUAACAGUCGGAAACGACUGCUAAUACCGCAUAGGACAUGGAAUCACAUGAUUCUGUGGGGAAAGGUGGCGCAAGCUAUCGCUAAGAGAUGGACCCGCGGUGCAUUAGCUAGUUGGUAGGGUAAAGGCCUACCAAGGCGAUGAUGCAUAGCCGACCUGAGAGGGUGAUCGGCCACAUUGGGACUGAGACACGGCCCAAACUCCUACGGGAGGCAGCAGUAGGGAAUCUUCCGCAAUGGACGCAAGUCUGACGGAGCAACGCCGCGUGAGUGAAGAAGGUCUUCGGAUCGUAAAGCUCUGUUGUUAGAGAAGAACAGCGCAUAGAGUAAACUGUUAUGCGU